UAAUUGUGUUGUACAUUAUCA
rnacentral:miRNA from 1 species